rnacentral:rRNA from 1 species
UCUGGUGACUAUAGCAAGGAGGUCACACCUGUUCCCAUGCCGAACACAGAAGUUAAGCUCCUUAGCGUCGAUGG